AUACUUACCUGGCAGGGGAGAUACCAUGAUCAGGGGCUAGGCUUCUCCAUUGCACUCUGAAUGUGCUGACCCCUGCGAUUUCUCCAAUGUGGGAAACUUGACUGCAUAAUAUGUAGUAGUGGGGAACUGCAUUCACGCUCUCCCCUG
rnacentral:snRNA from 1 species